UAUAUAUAUAUAUAUAUACUAUUUAUAAACCGAGUGAGAGGGCUUUAUCGGUGCAUAUAGGCGCGAGCCGAAGGCGAGCGGCUAUAGGCACCGAUAAAGCCCAAUCACGAGGUUUAUAAAUGACUUCUAAAAUUCACCUUUUGUUUUGGGUCCCAAUGAAAUAAUAAGAAAUGCUAACUACAAUAGUUCUAUUGUUUUACGAUUCUUCCCUUCAUUGAUCAGCAAGCAAAUUAAUGACUGCAUUAAUUAUCAAGUCAUACAAGUCGUUAAACGGAGUUUUCAAAUGGAAAUUUGAACAUAUUUGACUUGUUUUGUUAAUGAGUCGGUUUCAAAGCGCUCGAGCUGCUGAAGAGGAGCAAACGUUGCUCGAAAGAUCGAUGCCGCCAAGUACAAGAUACGCGACAAAGUGGGCUUUGACGAUUUCUGAUUCCUGGAGAGCUGCUAGAAAGGUUAAUUUAAUUAAAGAAGUGAAGAUGGACGAUGGUGGUCAUGAAACUGAUGAUAUUGGCCCAAACCAUACAUUAACUACAUCGCUGGCGGAGAUGAAUGAAGCGUCUUUAGCAUUUUAGUUAAGUAAGUUUGUUGGGUUUAAAGAGUUUAAAGUGGUGUGUAAUAAAAAACGAAAUGGUUGUUAAUCCCGUGUUUAAAAAUUGUAACAUUACCUUUAACUUUGGAAAAUAAAGUAUUUAUUGAUUUCUCGAAUAUUUGAGUUUUUA